GAUCAUGGCUCAGGAUGAACGCUGGCGGCGUGCUUAACACAUGCAAGUCGAACGAAGCACUUCAUAAAGCUUGCUUUAAGAAGUGACUUAGUGGCGGACGGGUGAGUAACGCGUGGGUAACCUGCCUUACACAGGGGGAUAACAGUUAGAAAUGACUGCUAAUACCGCAUAAAACAGCAGAGUCGCAUGACUCAACUGUCAAAGAUUUAUCGGUGUAAGAUGGACCCCGCGU
rnacentral:rRNA from 1 species